GAUACGUGACGGGGCCAGAACUUAUGAACUGCAGGCAUCAAUUGGUGUUUGAACUGCCUCUCACACCGGCAACUCCAGGGAGCAUUUUCCAGGGCAAGAAGGUGCGUGGCUUUCGUGGUGUGUCCUGGAGAACUGAAUGGCCAGUUCACUGUUUAAAGCAUCCUCAUGACAACCCUGCGAGGCAGCGGGUCCGCAUCAUUACUAGCCCACUCUACAGAUGAGAAAACUGUGGCACGGAGAGGCCAAGUAACCUGCCCAGAGCUGGUUUUCAUUGGAGAUCAAGUCCUGCUUCUAGAAUGUGUUGGGGGAAGAGUUGGGGAAGAAAAUUCUCUCUUUUUACCCAAGAUUGUGGUUUCUCGCCCUGGAUGAGCCACUUGGAGCAGAGAGUGCCUCUCACACCAUGCCACUUCUCUCCAUUCUGUUGGAUGCAGGAUGCCAAGAGAGCUGAGUCUGAGGACAAAUUGGAUUCUGAAGCUGGUCCUCAGAUUGUUUCCCAUGUCCUACAGAAUAAAGUUCAUGGUCUUCAAGGCCUGCCUACAUCUCCAGACUCUGUAUUACAUGGCCCUCCUCAUCACUGUUCUCUACUCUCCCUUCCCUUUUUUGUUUUGGUUCUAAAGUUCAAUGCCACUUCCUCAAGGAAGCUUCUCUGUUGCUCAGAUAAGAUUGCUCCCU